rnacentral:rRNA from 1 species
CAGCUCGUGUCGUGAGAUGUUGGGUUAAGUCCCGCAACGAGCGCAACCCUUGUCCUUAGUUACCAGCACUUCGGGUGGGAACUCUAAGGAUACUGCCAGUGACAAACUGGAGGAAGGCGGGGACGACGUCAAGUCAUCAUGGCCCUUACGACCAGGGCUACACACGUGCUACAAUGGUAGGUACAGAGGGCAGCUACACAGCGAUGUGAUGCGAAUCUCAAAAAGCCUAUCGUAGUCCAGAUUGGAGUCUGCAACUCGACUCCAUGAAGUAGGAAUCGCUAGUAAUCGCGGAUCAGAAUGCCGCGGUGAAUACGUUCCCGGGCCUUGUACACACCGCCCGUCACACCAUGGGAGUUGAUUGCACCAGAAGUGGUUAGCCUAACUUAGUGAGGGCGAUCACCACGGUGUGGUUGAUGACUGGGGUGAAGUCGUAACAAGGUAGCCGUA